AUCAAAAUUUUUAUAGAGAGGUACAGCUGUGAUAAAGUGCUAUCAAAUUCAUCAUGCUUGUACGAUGACUAUCUAACCACAAUUGCCAAAAUGCCUACUCUUUUUUUCUCUCAUUUUUUAGGCAUUCAGGAAUUUCAUUUCGGAAGGCAGAACAAUUAGGAUCAAUAAACAGCAGUGCUCUGAUGCAAGACUCCAAGAAAAUCCAAAAGCAUUCAUCAAUAAGUAAGGUGAAGAUCAGAGUUCUGAAGGACGAACCUUUAACAGCUCCACCUCAUCUCCCUCUGUGUGAAACCUGUUGUUGUCCCCAGACAAAGCAAAGCAGGAUGAGGGGACCAAACUGCGGACAAGGUGAUGUCAGGGCUGAUCAACAGAUGUUUAUUGGGAAUUAUGGAGAAAAGACACGAGUGGAAAUGAUCUAAAAAGGAACAAAAUAAGGAUGUUAAAAAGGCUUUUGCCAAUUCUCUACUUGGUGGAGAGUAUGAUGAGGAGGAGUCUGCAAAAUCCUUCCAGGAGGCCCUCAAGGAGUGGAGAAACAGAAGGUGUGAUGGGGCCGUAGGACCAGUAACAAUGUGGACUCAAACGGUAUCAAUGUCAGGUAUAGCAGCCCAAGCAGACUUCCUUCCACUGAGAGGCUAUGAAGGAGGAGCAGAAGGAUGGGGAGACAGCAAGGUACCUAUCAAAGUGGUGUUUCCUGAAAGCAGACUUAGCUAC